CUCAGCAGCAGUUGUGAGGUUGACUCUGGCUUUACUUGCAGGGUCCAGCUUUGCUUUUGCUUUUGGUUGGCUUUAUUAGCAUUGUUUGUUUUCUAAGUGGAGAACUGAAAUACAUUCUAGAAUCCUCUCUUCUCCUUGCAGAAGGGCUGCUGUGACUCUCACCAGAGUUAUGGACAAGACCUGCUUUUGUGUUAUCCCGGGUGGGGACACAGUCAAGUCACACUGUGCUGUGAGCUGUCUUUGUUGAGAGCAGUUUGUGGACUUCAGGGAAGCGACUGGCCUGAGUUUGUACAGGAGGCCAGGCUUUCUCAGAUAGUCCAGGUGUUUCUUUUUGAGGAUCCUGUGGCAGUCUACUGUUCCAGCAUCAGCCCAGCAUGAAAUACAGCAACAACCCAGUCACUCAGGUCCUGGCACUCAACCAUGUACAAAGGCACAGUACCUGAGUCCAGCUACUGAUGGGCAAGACAGGAAAUGGUCAACAGAGCCUGAUGUCCUGCUGGUGAUUCUGCCAUUGGAGCCCAGGGAGAAGCCCUGAGGAAGAGAGCAGAUGCCAGUCUGCAGGAGCAAGCAGGGUAGAGAAGGAAGCAUCUGGUCAGCCAUGGGGAAACAUCCAGUGCACAUCGAGUUUGGAGCAAGGUGAAUUAGAAGUCUGGGAGACAAAGGACCAUCUCCGCAUGACUGAUGACUACUCAGGCUAGUGAUGAAUGGGUCUCUAAACCAAACACAUCAAUACCUGUGGGCGUGAGAAGGACAGGGCCUGCCGCCUGCGACACCGUUAAACCCUCUCCCAAGGACUUCGUGUUGAAACAGGCUCCAUAGUUACAGUGUGAUCCCAGGACAAAGAAAUAAAGGUCAGUGAUUGAAGGCAAUUCUUUACCUUCAAAUUAAGACGUG
rnacentral:lncRNA from 1 species